AUCUCGUUAGCUUGGUUGGUAGAGUGCUCCACCUGUAAUGGAGAGGUCCUUGUUCGAUACCCGGAUCAGACG
rnacentral:tRNA from 1 species